UUCACACCAGUUAGUGUAAUAUAUGUCUCAGGUAAUAGAUUUGUGUAUAAUCAAAAGUACAUUUUCUUCUCAUAACAUACAACCUAUGUGUUCUCAAUGUUUUAAAAGCCUUUUUAAGGUGUUGCAAAAGAUCCUUAUUUUUACCGUAUAUUAGAAUUUUACUGAAAAACAUUAACACACGCAUCCUUAGAUAGGUUUUAAAGAUAAAAUUCAUGAGAUUUCGAAAAGUUGAAGGUGCAUGGGUGAGUUCAAAAGGCAUUAAUAAGAAUUUAUAAUGACAUUCAUGUGUUUUGAAGGUUGUCUUAUCGACUGAGGAAUGGAGGCAGGAUGUGUCAUUUUCUUCAAUUACUUGAUUUCAGAUUGAUUUUAGAAAAUAUUUCGGCUUUCCCAAUCUCAUUCAAUAGCUCCUCAAAAUUGAAAUGAGGUAUUUGUUUUUUUAUUUUGACAUCAUUAAAACCCUAUAAUCCAUACAUAGCCUCCAAGAACCAUCCCUCUUCUUGACUAGGACAAUUAGGCUAGCAUAAAAACUAUUGUUGUUAUGAUGACACCAACCUCCAACAUAAGAACUUUUAUUUGUUUCAAUGACACCGACUUUCAACAUCUCUUGUACCUUCUCAAUCACUUUUUUUUUUUUUUUUUUUACAAAUUACUAUAUCUAUAUGGUUUAUGGUUGCCAACUAGUGCAUUCUCCUUGUGGACGGUUUGGUGUUCAUGCUCUCUUUGAGAUUGUAAGCCUUCAUAUUGUCUAAAGAAAUCAUUGAACUGACUCAAUAACAAUUAUAACCCCUUUCAACUAUUGUCAGCAAGUUCUCAUGUGACUUCAACAUGCUAGCUCAAUUUCCUCAUACUCCAUUACCAAUUGUGUGGAAGCUACAUGUUGAUUUUUGCAUAAUAAAGGCUGUAGUUUAGAGUGAUUGAUUGAUGUCAUUUCUUUCCCUUUGUUAUCCUAUAACAUACAUUGAUUCCCCUUAUGUUUAAAAGAUAUUUGAAGGUCCUUAAAAUUCCAUAAAAUGUCCCCAAAGGUUGCCAACCAUUGAGCCCUUACAAUUAAGUUAUAAUUAUCGAAGAGAAGAGUAUAUACAUCAGUCGUAAAUUGUUUUCUUUGAGCCCUCUAUUCAAAUUGUUUGUACAUGAAGUGGCAGUGCCUUAACUUUAAUGAAAUAUUAGUAUGAUGAAAAAAUUGAAUUGCACAGUUGUGCCAUUAAAAGGUUUAUCAGUUAACAUUGAUUUUCAAUAUAUUGGGUGAUUAUAAUGUCUUACUAGAGACCGUUCAUGGUUUGUAAAUAAAAUAGUUGAUUAAUUUUAGAUUAAUUAUAAAUUUUAUUCAUUGCUAGUAUAUUAGGGAACCUAUAGGGUACAUGCAUAAGGAGUCAGUUUUUCUAACUUGAAAUAUUGGGGUGUAAAGCAUAAAGGGUGAAUCACAUUCGUUUGGUGAAGUUAUAUAUCUAAAAUUAUGUUUGAAAAAUAUUUAUAAAUAAAUACUUAAAACAUAAUUAUGACUAAUUAAUAUCAAUUAUGGAUUGGGCAAAUCAUGCAAUUAGCUACUGACUUUGGAUGGAAUAUAUAAAUGAGCUACUAGAGUUUUGAUAUAAAUUCAUAGCAUAACCUUAGCCAUUUUUUCAUUUAAGCUUUUGAGAAACUCUCACUCUAGUCAUUUCUUUCUCUUUGGGGAAGAAGAGAUUUUCUUUUCAAUUUCUUCUCCUAAUCUUAGUAUACUUAAUUUCAUACAUCAUAAGCUAGCACCUAUGUGUCUCUUGAUCGUCAUAGAGCCCUUACGUGGAUGAGUAGGGUCUCGUUGGUAUAACAACGAAAGUGUUUUAAUUCUAGAUGGAUUUGAGGUGAAGUUGAAGAGGAGUCACCAAAUGUAGGUAUGAAAGUUUCAAUAUAUUACUAUCUAUUGUCGCGUAUGGUAGAAUGACAUUUUGUUUGAAUUUGUCUUGUUGCAUGAUUAGAUUCAAAAAUUUUGUUUUGGAUUUAUUUGGGUUGAAAAUUAAAUUACGUAAGUUUUUAGAAUCAAAUUGAAAUAAUAAUAAUUUAACCAAAAUUGGUUUUUGCGUGUGUUGAUAGCAUGAUAUGUUUGCUUGGUGAGGUGUUUCGUAUAUGGGCCUAUAAUUAAUGGGUUAAUUUACUUUUCAUUUAUUUUGUUAGGUUUUUAAAUGAAAUAUUAAAAUAGGGUUUGUGAAUCUUGCCUCUCUUGAAUUCUUUUGUAAUUCACUUUUCAUCUCAACUCCUUUCGAGUGUCGAGGUUUUCCAUUUAUUAAUGUAAUUUAUAUUGAAUUAAAUCAAUGUAUUUAGGGUGUGAAAAGUUGUCAUGUAAUUGAAGAGACGAAUUAAGGCAAUGAAAAGUUGUUAUGUAAUUGAAGAAACAAAUAAAGACAAUGUUGCAUUUUCAAGACUCGAGAAGAGAAAGAAUGAAGAGCAAAACCUUAUAUUAAUCGAGCUAUCCCCUUAGGGCUUGAAGGAGCCAAUAUUUGAUAAAAGCAUGUGUCAACACAAAUUAUGUUUUAGAUUACCUUCAUAAGGGUGUAUGCAUAUAUAGACUUAAGUUAUGCAUAAACAUGACUAAUAAAAGUAAGACUAAAAUAGAUAAUUAAAAUAAAACCCUUUAGUAAAUUUUAAGUUGUAUAAAAGCCUUCCACCACUAUGAACUUAGUUAAGCUCUAAGUUUAUCUAUGUCUUAUUCACCAUAGCAAAUGGUACAAUUCAACCCUAUAAAACCUAGUGACUAACAGUAAUGGGUGUCAUUUAACCAUGAUAAUUGUUCGUAACAAUGAAUGUGGAAAAGCAUGUGUCAACACAAAUUAUGUUUUAGAUUACCUUCGUAAGGGUGUAUGCAUAUAUAGACUUAAGUUAUGCAUAAACAUGACUAAUAAAAGUAAGACUAAAAUAGAUAAUUAAAAUAAAACCCUUUAGUAAAUUUUAAGUUGUAUAAAAGCCUUCCACCACUAUGAACUUAGUUAAGCUCUAAGUUUAUCUAUGUCUUAUUCACCAUAGCAAAUGGUACAAUUCAACCUUAUAAAACCUAGUGACUAACAGUAAUGGGUGUCAUUUAACCAUGAUAAUUGUUCCUAACAAUAAAUGUGGUUUGAGUUUGGAGGCACGAACUAUAUGCAGUUAUCAAUGUAUUAGUGAUAUAGUAUUCAUUCUAUUGAUAUCAAAAGUUGUACUCAAGGUUGUUUGAAUUGUCAAGAAUAAUGCCCUUAACUUGAGUUCUUUCACUUGUACAAUUGGCUUGUAGGCCUACCUAAUCUACCCACAUAGCUUGUUCAACAUGGUUAAGUUAAAAAUGGAUUAGAUAAGAUUUUGGUCUACUAAGAGAUCCACUGAGAUUUUCCAAGACCAAUAGUGAGAGUUAUUAGCUCAAAAAAAAAAAAGUGAGUAUUUAUUUAAUAAAACAUAAAAUAAAACAUAAAAUAAGUACUGAUUAGUCUUAUUUGCAUAUGUAGUUUCACAAUGACAACUAAUAAUAUAAGAUUGCAUUUUAUACUUGAAAUGGACAACAAUUUAGAUGACAAAAACUUGAUUGACUAGUAUCAAAAUCUUCAUAUUGUGCUACACUAAAAAAAAAAAAAAGAAGUAUGUCAUAGAAAGCACCCAACGCAUAUAACUUGAUCCUAAUACCACCCAAGAGGAAUGAUAUAUUUAUCAAAAAUACCUUGAUAAUGCUAAUGACGUUGCAUAUUUGAUGUUAGCAUUAACGUGAGGAAAUAAAUGGAUGCUAGAUCCGUUCUCCUACGUCUCAAAAGAGUUAUUCUUUAUGCAUGCACGUUGUGAGAGGUACAAGUUGUCAAAUUACAAGUAUAGAUACAAAAUGUUAGAGGGAGCUCAUAUGGCUCUCAUGUAUUCAAGAUGAUUAGGUACAUUGAUAGGUUUGUGGCUUUGGGCUUUUGUAUCGACCAUGACCUUGCCAUUGACUUGGUUUUGUAGUUCUAGCCUGAUUUUUAUUCUUAAUUCAACAUGAAUGGGAUUGAGAAAUCUCUGGCUGAGAUUUUGAACAUGUUAAGGACUAUGGAGCAAGGUAUUAAUAAGUCUUCGCCUGUAUUCUUAGUUGAUGCUAGAAUGGGUAAGGGUAAGGGCAAAAGGAAAUGCCAAGGCCAAGUCCAAACCCAAACCUUAGGCAUAAGCUCAACUUGGUUUACCCCACUGGUGACAUUGGGAAAAAGAUGGUAUGGUAGUAUGUUUCUAUUAUGGCAAGUUUGAUCAUUGGAGGAGAAAUUACAAGGUCUUUUAAGAAAUAAGAAGUCAAAUGCUUUUACUUCAGGAUCUAAUGCAGAGUAGAUCGCUUGCCCAUGGAGAGGUGAGCUUACAUGUUGGAAUUGAAGCAAGACUAGCUGCAUUAGUUGUAGGUCUUGGUUAUUUAAGUUUGCCUAUUGGCCUUAUUUUAGAACUCAAAAAUUAUAAUUAUGUUAUGGUAAUUUCUAAGAAUUUUAUUUUUGUGUCUACUGUAGAUGGACUAAGAUUUUAUUUAUAAUAAACAAAGGUUCUUUAUCCUUUGGUUUGAAUGAUA